GCCCCGGUCGUAUAGCGGCCCAGUAUGCCGGCCUGUCGAGCCGGAGAACCCGGGUUCAAAUCCCGGCCGGGGCG
rnacentral:tRNA from 1 species